AGCGAACGUUUGCGGCGGGCUUAACACAUGCAAGUCGAACGAGAAUCCCUUCGGGGAGGAAAGUGGCGCACGGGUGCGUAACACGUGGAUAACCAACCCAUUGGUUUGGGACAACACCGGGAAACUGGUGCUAAUACCAGAUGUGUCGCAGCUGUCUUCAGGCGGUUGCGAGAAAGGCCCGCAAGGGUCGCCAACGGACGGGUCCGCGUCCCAUCAGCUAGUUGGUGAGGUAAUGGCUCACCAAGGCAAAGACGGGUAGCUGGUCUGAGAGGAUGAUCAGCCACACUGGAACUGAGACAUGGUCCAGACUCCUACGGGAGGCAGCAGUGGGGACUAUUGCGCAAUGGGCGAAAACCUGACGCAGCCACGCCGCGUGAGCGAUGAAGGUCUUCGGAUCGUAAAGCUCUGUGGGGGGAGAAGAAGAAAGCCGGUGAAGAGCCGGCCCUGACGGUAUCCCCUUAGCAAGCACCGGCUAACUCCGUGCCAGCAGCCGCGGUAAAGUAGUCG
rnacentral:rRNA from 1 species